rnacentral:rRNA from 1 species
AUUCCUACGGGAGGCAGCAGUGAGGAAUAUUGGUCAAUGGACGCAAGUCUGAGGCAGCAACGCCGCGUGGGCGAUGAAGGCCUUCGGGUUGUAAAGCCCUUUUCUGGGGGAAGAGGAAGGACGGUACCUCAGGAAUAAGUCACGGCUAACUACGUGCCAGCAGCCGCGGUAAUACGUAGGUGGCAAGCGUUAUCCGGAUUCACUGGGCGUAAAGCGCGUGCAGGCGGUUUCGUAAGUCGGACGUGAAAGCUCCUGGCUUAACUGGGAGAGGUCGUUCGAUACUGCGGGGCUUGAGGUCGGGAGAGGGACGUGGAAUUCCCGGUGUAGUGGUGGAAUGCGUAGAUAUCGGGAGGAACACCAGUGGCGAAGGCGACGUCCUGGCCCGCACCUGACGCUGAGACGCGAAAGCGUGGGUAGCGAACGGGAUUAGAUACCCCGGUAGUCCACGCUGUAAACGGUGGGUACUAGGUGUUGGUGGCUAUCGUCAUCAGUGCCGUAGCUAACGCGUUAAGUACCCCGCCUGGGGACUACGGCCGCAAGGCUAAAACUCAAAUGAAUUGACGGAAU